rnacentral:rRNA from 1 species
ACGGGAGGCAGCAGUGAGGAAUAUUGGUCAAUGGACGGAAGUCUGAACCAGCCAUGCCGCGUGCAGGAAUGAGGCCCUAUGGGUCGUAAACUGCUUUUGUGGUGGAGCAAUAAGUCCUACGUGUAGGGCGAUGAGAGUACAUCACGAAUAAGCAACGGCUAACUACGUGCCAGCAGCCGCGGUAAUACGUAGGUUGCAAGCGUUGUCCGGAUUUACUGGGUGUAAAGGGCGUGUAGGCGGAGCUGCAAGUCAGAUGUGAAAUCCCGGGGCUCAACCCCGGAACUGCAUUUGAAACUGUAGCCCUUGAGUAUCGGAGAGGCAAGCGGAAUUCCUAGUGUAGCGGUGAAAUGCGUAGAUAUUAGGAGGAACACCAGUGGCGAAGGCGGCUUGCUGGACGACAACUGACGCUGAGGCGCGAAAGCGUGGGGAGCAAACAGGAUUAGAUACCCUGGUA